rnacentral:lncRNA from 1 species
CAGAAACGCCAGCAGGCACCGGAGGGGGGAAGACACGUCCGUACACCUACCAGCCCAGACAGCUUUUCGUUCCUGCUGGGGAACACAAACGCGCCCUUUUUCCUUUUUAAUUAGCGUUAUCAUUAUUUUUUCCCCCUUCUCUCAGCGUGUAGGCUAUAACUUUACGUUUUUUUUCUUCUUUUUUUCUUUUUUUAACCGAGCCGAGCAGGAACCGAGCCCGCCGUUAUAUUGGGAGUUUGUUGAAACAGUGCUGUGGCUGGAGAAGUGUAAAUGGCUGAGGGAGGUCGACGGAGGACUGGGGAGACAACUUGCAAGAUGUCGCACUUUGUGGAAGCCUAAAAAAGGAGUGUUUGUUUUGUUUUUUUAAAGCGAAUAUUACUGUUAGCGUGACAGGAGGUGGUGAAAGAGGAGGGGAGAGGCUGCAGCUCCAGGAGGAUCUUGGUGUUCGUUUGUUCCUCCGGCUCGGAGAGAAACAGUGGUAUCUUCCUGCCUCCUCUGUGUUUCUCAGACCUGCGGAGACGGAGGCUGUCUUCUGUUUGGACAUCUGUCCAUCUCUUUUUUCGUCUCUCAUAAGCUUCCACCCGACUCCUACACAUAAUCCACUCAGUUUGUUGAUGGUAUCUGCUUGCAGCCCUGGAAAGCUCCACAAUAUCUCUUUAAGUCUGAAGACAUUAGAAAUGCAUCAGCUCAAUGAGUGA